rnacentral:misc_RNA from 1 species
GCCAAUCCCAUUCCUCUGACAGCUUCACUGAUGGAGAAGGCGAUCAACAGGCAGAGCAUUUUGUUACAUCAUCUCCGACCUUCUUCGGCUUAUAGCCAUGAAUCUUCGCUUUCUGCGUCGGUUUGUGCAGCUGGGGAUAGUGCUUCGUAUCAAAGAACGUCGGUGUUUGGAGAUGAUGUCGUGAUUGUUGCAGCGUACCGUACAGCCAUUUGCAAAUCGAAGCGUGGUAGCUUCAAGGAUACUUAUCCUGAUGAUCUGCUCGCCCCUGUUUUGAAGGCAUUGAUAGAGAAAACUAAUUUGAAUCCAAGUGAAGUUGGGGAUAUUGUUGUUGGCUCGGUGUUGGCCCCAGGUUCCCAGAGGGCAAGUGAAUGCAGGAUGGCUGCA